AGAGUUUGAUCCUGGCUCAGGACGAACGCUGGCGGCAGGCUUAACACAUGCAAGUCGCACGAGAACGUUCUGGCUUUGCCAGGACAAGUACAGUGGCGGACGGGUGCGUAUCGCGUAGAUAACCUGCCCUCAGGCGCGGGACAAUCACGGGAAACUGUGGCUAAUACCGCACGUCGUCUGGACCCCGCAUGGGGACCAGAUGAAAGCCUUCGGGCGCCUUUGGAUGGGUCUGCGUUGGAUUAGCUUGUUGGUGAAGUAAAAGCUCACCAAGGCAACGAUCCAUAGCUGGUCUGAGAGGACGAUCAGCCACACUGGGACUGAGACACGGCCCAGACUCCUACGGGAGGCAGCAGUGGGGAAUCUUGCACAAUGGGGUCACCCCUGAUGCAGCCAUGCCGCGUGGAGGAAGACACCCCUAUGGGGCGUAAACUCCUUUUCUGAAUGAAGAAACCCCUGUAGCUUCAGGGCGCGACGGUAGUUCAGGAAUAAGCACCGGCUAACUCCGUGCCAGCAGCCGCGGUAAUACGGAGGGUGCAAGCGUUGUCCGGAAUCACUGGGUGUAAAGGGUGUGCAGGCGGGGCAACAAGUCGGAUGUGAAACCCCAUGGCUCAACCAUGGAGGUGCAUUCGAAACUGUUGCUC
rnacentral:rRNA from 1 species